UAUUGCUCAGUAUUGUACUUUGCUUUCUCACCCUCAUACAGAUAUAUAUGUAUAGAAGUAAAAAUGUUAAAUCUUCCUUGUCUUUAACUUCAUUAGUGUCAUUAAGUAUAAAAAUAAAUAUGAUUUCAGAAUAAUGAAUGAAGUUUGAUUUUGGCUUUCUAAAACUUGGAAUUCAAUGAUACUUACUGUUGCAGCUCUUAAAAGGACAGAAAGGGAGCUUUCUAGGGAGCCUGCAACUGUGAGACUGUGCACAAGCCUGUGCGCACUCAGUUUUCUGAAGUCAAGUUGCUUCUGAUACUUUAUAUUUUACUGUCAUGUUAGAGGCUUCAUCUCAUGAUCAUUUGUUCAUUCACAUGUGUUUUUAUUUUUAGCUCUAAGCAAAAGAACAUGAGGCUGAAUUGAGGUGGCUUUGUGGUCAUCCGAUUUCUAGACGUGUGCGGUCACCUGGUCCUGAAAACCCUCCACACAGAAUGGUUUGCAAUUUUUUUUGGUGAUGGCAUGUUCAGAAUCUUGGAUCCCUAAAUUGAAUGUUGGAAAUAUGUAGGAGCCUUGGAAAUUACGUUGUUUUCAUAUAUUAAUGUUUUGGUAGACUAAUAAAUGUAUGUAAAGGAACUCCAUACUUGUAAGGUGACAGGUAUGUCUCAGGGCUGUCACCUGUGUGAGUGCUGUGCUCUGGAGACAGCUCUGCUGUGGAGAUUCUCUGUGGACCUCUUGCUGUCCUGGGCAGACUGUGAGAUUCCUCCCAUGAUGCUUUGGUUAGCUGGUUUUCUUUCCUACCUACAUUGCAGUGGGAGCUCCUUAGAUCAGGAGUUAUGAAGAGAAGAAAAAGCAUCAAGUAACAAUCUUAAAUGCAGUAACCACAGAAUUUCUACCUGGGAAUCAUCUUACAAGGUCUGUAUUAGAAUAUAUAAUUUUUUAAAUCAAAUAUAUGUGUAGCGAAAUGCAGCCAGUUUUUAAAGUCAGGCAUUAUUGUAGAUCAGAGGUGUUCACAUUGAGGGAAUAAGGAUGCUCGCUUUCACCUUCUUCCUGUCUCCUCCUUGUCAGUUGAUGAGUUAGUAGGAAGGGGUUAGUGGUCUAUGUAAAGAGGAGGAGGAGAGGCUUAAAUUUCCUGAAAGGAUUAAUUUCCCUUAAAAUAAAACCAAAAACAAAAAACCCAACAAACCAAAAACUUAGAAGUUGGUUCCCUUCCCUGUGUGGGCUGCUCUCAUGUAGAAUGUGGGUGGGAGAGUCUCCAUCCAUGGACAGAUGAUGGUGGUAUCGGGUGCAGUGCAGGUUAGAGUCGCUGUAGUUACCCUUGAUGGUGUGUGGUCCUUCACUGCCUCCUGCACCUGCUGGAACUCAGAGACUUAAGGAAGCUCAGUUACUCCGUUGUCAGUGUGAAUGCCGUUCUCCUCUUACAUCCUCACUGGGGAGUACUGAUUGCAGGGACCACGGUUAGAGCAGCCUGGAACGUGAAGGGAGUGCAGGAAGCUGCAGAAACUGAACCAGAGCUCAGGAGAGCCUCCGUUGAGUUUUAUUAUUGGUGGGUUGUCCAUUGUUCCUGGAGACCUUGCUUACCUGCAGUCACCAUUAUCCUUAGAUUUCUCUUGGAGUUUUUCAGAAACUGAAGGGCUGUAAUCCUGCCAGUGGCGCCCCUUCUAGUUAAAAUCUAAUUAUAUCAUUUCCCUUCUUGCCUUUCUUCCCUCCAACCUUCUCUUCCCUUUUCAGUGGCAGAAAUGAUACUUAUUAGAUGAUACUUAUUUGCUGGGAAACACUACUUAGAUUUUAAUUGUGACAUACCAGUGUCAGUGUCAGUUGCUUCCUGAUUAUAACUGGCUUUGAAAAACUCUCCUCCUGUGGCACUGCUGUCAACAGAGGUUUCCUUUUAGCUGGUUCUAGCCACAGUAUCGAUUGGGCCUGGGGAUCUGAUAUACCCAAAAACAAAUUAGCCAGCCAGAAAAAAAUCUUUGUCCCCACCGGAAUAAAUAUUUUAAAGACCUUCUUAGAUUCUGAAAACCAUGAGUACAAAUGAAAGAGACCCAUGAAAGAGAAAACCUUAGGAGCUUGACAAAACAAAGUGCUGGUGGGUGCGACUGACCUUCACAGAGCAGCUCUAAGGGAACAGUGCCUCCUGGAGGGGAAGAGAAGGCUGGAGUGUCCUGGACACGAGGCAUUUCCUGUCGCCACAGCUAGUUUUCACAAGCAGGCCAUGGAAUUUAAGAAUAGUGAAUUAUUGUGGUAUGUUCUAAAUGUGUUUGCAGCUCAAUGGUUAAUUUAACUUCAAAUAAAUGUCUUUACGUAUUAAAGAAAAUACAUUAUCAAUAAAAUUCUUUUGUUCCUGUUGUAUAACUUCA
rnacentral:sRNA from 1 species